rnacentral:rRNA from 1 species
UACGGGGGGAGCAAGCGUUGUUCGGAUUUACUGGGCUUAAAGGGCGCGUAGGCGGCCUCUUCAAGUCAAUUGGGAAAUCUCCGGGCUUAACUCGGAAAGGUCAACUGAUACUGCAGGGCUAGAGUGCGGAAGGGGCAACUGGAAUUCUCGGUGUAGCGGUGAAAUGCGUAGAUAUCGAGAGGAACACCUGCGGCGAAGGCGGGUUGCUGGGCCGACACUGACGCUGAAGCGCGAAAGCUAGGGGAGCGAACGGG